GACGAACGCUGGCGGCGUGCCUAAUACAUGCAAGUCGAACGCAGUGGGGACGGGUGAGUAACACGUGGGUAACCUCCCAUAAGAGGGGAGAACACUUGGAAACAGGUGCGAAACCGAUACUGAUGGAUGGACCCGCGGUGCAUUAGCUAGUUGGUGAGGUAACGGCUCACCAAGGCCACGAUUGAUAGCCGACCUGAGAGGGUGAUCGGCCACACUGGGGCUGAGACACGGCCCAGACUCCUACGGGAGGCAGCAGUAGGGAAUCUUCGGCAAUGGACGAAAGUCUGACCGAGCAACGCCGCGGUAAUAC
rnacentral:rRNA from 1 species